UGUUGUGAGGAUCCAUCAGUUUGGCUAUCUAGUCUGAUAUCUAUUUUGUAGGUUCAGAGGAUGUUCCUACUGAAAGUGAGUCAUCUUUCACAAAGAAGAGACCAAAGAACAAAAAAAUUACAGAAUUAGAUAUUAGUUUCACAAAAUAUUUGGUCAAAGAAGCGCCUGAUGUCUUUGCCCCUCUCAAAAAUCCAAAAUUGCUGCUGCUACCUGCAAGUAGAGAACCUUGUCAUAACACACUUCCUGAAGAUUGCCAUUAUCAACCUGAGGAUCUUGUGAAGCUGUUUCUUCUUCCUAAAGUUAUGGUAAUAUAGGCUUACUCAUGAAAGUAUAAAAUAAUCGUAUAAAUUGCUAGCAUUAGAACAAUUAAAUUGGUUGAUAUCAGAGCCAGAUGUCAUGGGCCUAGAGUUCCAACGCAGCGGCACAACCUAUGCGGCAACCCCAUGGGCAAGGAUCAAAGGGGCUCAGCCUGCAUGCCAUGCAUUUCAAUGUCACUAUACUGACUGGUUUCGUCCUGCCAUGGACUCAUCAGGGGAACAGCUCCAGCUCCCAACCAGUUUGUGUAGGAGAUGGCCUAGCUCCUCUUCAUCAUCAAGUCCCCAACUAGUGACAAGCUCCCUAGACUUAACCGGUGCCUUGGGAAGAGAAGAAGACAACUUCCGGAUGCUCAAGAACACAAUGAUGAUGAUCGGUUGCCAUCAUGGGAUAAUGGAAGUGUGUUUAAUUGCCAGUAUGAUGAUGGAUAUGCUGAUAGUGAUGUGGAAAACUUGGACAUUCUGGUGUCUCAGCCUCGUCAGGUUUGCUUGUGGUUUGUCUACUUUUUUCAAUAGGUUUAGGUCUGUAGCUGCCAUCUUAAUAGUGUAGUGAUUUGCCUCUAAACUUGGUGGAUGGUGCAAUCUAGCAAUCUCUGUGUCUCCCUGUUUGUGUGUGUGUUGUGUCCUAUGAUCUUUUUGAAGGGAACCUUAAAGUGUUCUUGUCCAUAAGGAAAGCUCCUCAUUUUCCAGAACUUGAAAUAUAUACGAUAAAUGUCUUAUUGCUCUCUCUCUCUCUCUCUCUCUCACUCACUCACUCACUCUCAGUCCUUUGAUAUUUUUAAGGGGAAGUGCAAAGUUGUUCUUGUCCAUAAGGAAAUCUCCUCAUUUCCCAGAAAUUGAAAUAUAUACACAUACAUACAUAUAUAUGAUAAAUAUCCUCAUGCAUCUUUUUUUCUAACUUCUACUAUGAACUGGACAUUAAUGGUUAGGGAGGUUUUAUAGUUGUGCGUGGAAUAUAUCGAGUUUUACUAGUCAUCUUCUUAGUCUUAAUAUUUCAGGUCAAAAAAAUUGAAGUUCAGUAUGAUAAAACUUCUAAACAAAUUGAUGUACACAUUUUGAAGAAAACACUUCAGGAUCUCAUGCAGGAAUCCAUUCAAAUGUCUGAGGCGGUGAGGCUAUUCCUUUAACUUGUUCAAUAGUCAUUUUGUGACUUAAUAUCAUUUUUACAUUAUCAUCCAUUCUCCAAACUCUAUCAUGUAUCAGCUUGCAUCUUUUUUUUCUUCCUUCUUAUAUUUGUUAGUACUGAGUGUUAAAUACAUCACGAUCAAAUUAUCUAAACAUUCUGGGAGUUUGAGUUGCUUAAUUCUUCCAUCAAUCCAGUGGGCCUAAAAGUAGUAUUUAACCUAUCAGUACUGCUAACUAGGAAACAGCUGUUUGUUUUGAUCAAUUUAGUGAAUUUGAUUCUACUUUUUUGUUGAGAUUUUUGGACAGUUGAGGAAGUUUUUUUGAAGCCAUCAGAUGUGAGCCAACAAAAUCCAAAAUUUUGAGUAAUACAAUAUUACAUUUUCAUGCAUGCUUUGAUACUUAGACUCUUCAAUUUCAUCCAGGGUACUUGUGUUAACACAGCACAACAGGGGUGUAAAUUUGGAAUUCUUGUCAGAUAUUGACUUUCUUUAUUUUUAAUUGAUUAUUAUAUUAUCUUUUAACUUUCAGCUUCCUAGCAUGUAGUUAUAUUACAGAAAGAAAGAGUUGUUGGAAAGUGCACUUUGAAAAGAAUAUUCAGGCAUAAGAAAAAAACAGGGAUCAAAGAAAAAAGAUCGAGGAGUUUUCAUUAAGAAUAUCUUUGCUUUUUUUUUUUUUUUUUUAAUUUCUAAUUGAUUUUUAUUUCAUUUACUAUGCAGUAUCUAAGUACCUGGACUUGUUAUUGAGAUCUAUUUAGCUAAGUCCCCACAUCUUAAAAUUUGGAUGUAUGAAAGAUCAGACACUAUCCUCACUGGCAUCUGAACCAUGCAACAUAGAUUUUAUUUGGUGUAACAGAACUACCACUCAUGUAAUGAAUGCAAACAUACCGUUAAGAAACAUUAAAAUGAACUGACUAGCAAUUGAGUUUAGCUAUUAGUAGAAGGCAUUGUUGACUACUAAGGCGGUAUUGAAGAACUGCAAAUCUUGAAACUGUGAAUGAGAAACAAAGAAACAGGAGUACUUAUUCACCUGGACCUAGAUUGCCAAUCUGAGAGUUUAUAUACUUCUGAAAAUUUUCGACCCUUGUGGUAAAGUUGAGCCAUGACGAUUCUGAAAAUAAUAAUUCAAGCAUUCAAGGUCACUUCAACAGAAUAAGUUGUUUUUUACACAACCAUGGAAGACUUAAUUCAGUCAAUGGACUGGACCAAUUUUCAGGUACAUGGAGCAUCGAUUUUAUCCUAUUUUUUAUUUUUUUAUAAAAGAAAUUAGUAAACAUGUUACAAAUUGUUUUGGGUU